rnacentral:rRNA from 1 species
UACGAAGGGGGCUAGCGUUGCUCGGAAUCACUGGGCGUAAAGGGUGCGUAGGCGGGUCUUUUAAGUCAGGGGUGAAAUCCUGGAGCUCAACUCCAGAACUGCCUUUGAUACUGAAGAUCUUGAGUUCGGGAGAGGUGAGUGGAACUGCGAGUGUAGAGGUGAAAUUCGUAGAUAUUCGCAAGAACACCAGUGGCGAAGGCGGCUCACUGGCCCGAUACUGACGCUGAGGCGCGAAAGCGUGGGGAGCAAACAGG